rnacentral:lncRNA from 1 species
GACCCUGAGGCACACCUCCCAUGUUGCUGGUAGGCAUGCCUCCAAAGUUGUUUUGAGGCAUUCCUCCCAUGUUCUGUGGCCCACCCCCAUAAUUGUUAGGAGGAGGUGGCGGCGGCGGCCCACCCAUAUAGUUGUUAGGGGGUGGUGGUCUGCCCAUGUAGUUGUUAGGCGGUGGUGGAGGAGGUCCGCGCAUGUAGUUGUUAGGUGGUGGUGGAGGGGGGGCGCCUGGUCCAUUCAUGUUGUUCUGAGGCAUUCCAGCUAUGUUGGAUGCAGGAUUCUGCAUGCCCUGAUUAUCCAUUGGAGCUGCCCUUGUGUUCUGGAAAUCCCUGUUCUGCAUGUUUUCCCUCCUCCU